rnacentral:tRNA from 1 species
AGGUUUUAUAUUCAAUAAUGAUAUUAAAUUGCAAAUUUAAUGGUGUAUAAAAGUACUAAGACUU